GUUAGCUGGUUCCUACAUAGCUGCCAAUAAUUCUCCCUUAAUUACUCAGAAUAAAGAUAGGGGCUCUUUGACGUGCCGCAUUAAAGCUUUUGAUAGGGAAGAAAGGAUUGGGGUGGGAUGAAGUGUGACAGCUGCUAUUGGAAAGGGCAUCUAUGCCACCAAUGUUCAUGGGCAACCCCUAUAAUAGCGAGAAGAAUUUAUCAUGCAAUGUGGCAUCGUUCCUGCUGUACAGUUUCCCGCCCCCGUUCUGUGUUACUAUGUCUACUUGCAGCUUGUAAUAUCUGUUUGAGAUUAUAUAUGGUACGAUAUAUUGAGGCAAGCUCGUCCAUCAAGACAGCAGAAGACAACCGACGUUCUCGUCAAUCAAGAGAGCAAGACAACAAAAAGCAGAAGCAGUUUUUUUGACUGGCUCCAAGGGUCUUCUCUUGGGGAAAGUAUAUCCAAGGAGAUAGGAUGGAGGCUAGGGUAGACUGCGCCAGGGAGGAGGAGAUUGAGCCCAGGGUUCUUAACAGGGUAGUUGCCAUGAGAUUCCAGGAUUUUUGCACCUCUGUUUAACGUCUCCAUGAAACCUCUGCAAGAGACGGAAUGGAAUUGCCAUGGAAUCAGAUUUUGGUGAAACACCCCCCCCCAGUUAUACAUCUCAACCCCAAUUUGAUUAAGUGUUGCUGAAAUAUUUGUUUCUUUGUUUAUUGCAUGCUUGCUGAGAUGCUUCCGGGUUUAAAGCCGGUGACAUCACCAUUGCCCUUGGGAUGCCGAGUUGACGCAUCAGUCAAAAGAGACAGGCGGCAAUCACUUCUGUACCUUUCAACUGCCUGGUUUGUCAACAAUUUUUGCAAUGAACAAAUGGGCCUCUUUCCAAGGUCUGACUUUCGAAAUAAUUACCAGGUGAACAGUUUUGACUUUUCUAAGCUGAAAGUCCUAUUGCAGAUCUGAGUGGCACAUUGAAGAAGACAUUCUUUCAAAUAUAGCAGACAAGCAUAGAAGAUAAAACAAAGUUUCAAUCAUUUCAGUUUAAAUGGUUUCUCUCCGGCCAUGUACAGAAUAAUUCACUCUCCUCCCCCCACUUUUUUUUUUAUUCAGAUGAAACAUGUAGCGAAUCUCUGGAGUGGUACCCAAAACUUUGGCAUGCAGUGUGUGUGUGUGUGUGUGUGUGUGUGUGUGUGUGUGUGUCUGAAGCCAUAAAGAGCCGAGGUGGCGCAGUGGUUAGAGUGCAGUACUGCAGCUAUUUCAGCUGACUGCCAGUUCAGCAGAUCAGCAGAUCAAAUCUCACCGGCUCAAGGUUGACUCAGCCUUCCAUCCUUCCGAGGUGGGUAAAAUGAGGACCCAGAUUGUUGGGGGCAAUAUGCUAAUGCUAAUGUUAAUGCAAUAUGCUAUUAUGCAAUGUGCUAUAUGCUAACUUUGUAAACCGCUUAGAGAGGGCUGUAAAGCACUAUGAAGCGGUAUAGAAGUCUAACUAACUAAUAAAUAAAUAUGUAAUUGUAUACCUCUGCAAUAUGCCAGAAAAGCAAACUCAUCCAUUAUCUUCUCUACAGCUGAUGUUCUAUAAAAAAGAUAUACCAGGAUCUGUCUUCUAAAGAACCAGGAA